UCAAGUGACUAAGUGCAUGCGGCGGAUGCCUUGGCGAUCACAGGCGAAGAAAGACGCGGCAGCCUGCGAAAAGCUGCGGGGAGCUGGCAAACGAGCUUUGAUCCGCAGAUAUCUGAAUGGGGGAACCCACACCGUAAGGUGUAUCCGUAGCUGAAUACAUAGGUUACGGAGGCGAACGAGGAGAACUGAAACAUCUAAGUAUCCUCAGGAAAAGAAAUCAACCGAGAUUCCGGCAGUAGCGGCGAGCGAACCCGGAGGAGCCUAGCUUUUGAUAGUACGAACUUUAGCCGAAAGGUCCUGGAAAGGCCUGCUAUAGUGGGUGAUAGCCCCGUAGGCGAAAGAGUUGGUACGGUACUAAGGAAGCGAGAAGUAGAGCGGGACACGUGGAAUCCUGUUCGAAGACGGGGGGACCAUCCUCCAAGGCUAAAUACUCGUGAUCGACCGAUAGUGAACCAGUACCGUGAGGGAAAGGCGAAAAGAACCCCGGGAGGGGAGUGAAAUAGAACCUGAAACCGCAUGCAUACAAACAGUAGGAGCCUCAUCAGAGGUGACUGCGUACCUUUUGCAUAAUGGGUCAGCGACUUACAUUCUGUGGCGAGCUUAACCGAAUAGGGGAGGCGCAGCGAAAGCGAGUUCGAAAUGAGCGUCCAGUCGCAGGGUGUAGACCCGAAACCAGAUGAGCUAUCCAUGGCCAGGUUGAAGGUGUGGUAACACACACUGGAGGACCGAACCGACUAGUGUUGCAAAAUUAGCGGAUGAGCUGUGGAUAGGGGUGAAAGGCCAAACAAAUCUGGAGAUAGCUGGUUCUCCCCGAAAACUAUUGAGGUAGUGCCUCGUGUGUCGCUCCAGGGGGUAGAGCACUGUUUUGGCUAGGGGGACAUGGAGUCUUACCAAACCAAGGCAAACUCCGAAUACCUGGAAGCGUAAGCACGGGAGACAGAGCACCGGGUGCUAACGUCCGGACUCAAAAGGGAAACAACCCAGACCGCCGGCUAAGGUCCCAAAUAACAGCUAAGUGGAAAACGAAGUGGAAAGGCCGUGACAACCAGGAAGUUGGCUUAGAAGCAGCCAUCCUUCAAAGAAAGCGUAAUAGCUCACUGGUCGAGUCCUUCUGCGCGGAAGAUGUAACGGGGCUAAGCUGUUAACCGAAGCCGCGGAUGCACUGGUUAUCCAGUGCGUGGUAGGGGAGCGUUCUGUAAGUCUGCGAAGGCGGUUCGAGAGGACUGCUGGAGAUAUCAGAAGUGCGAAUGCUGACAUGAGUAACGUUAAAGCAGGUGAAAAGCCUGCUCGCCGUAAGCCCAAGGAUUCCUGCUCUACGUUCAUCGGAGCAGGGUGAGUCGGCUCCUAAGGUCAGGCCGAAAGGCGUAGCCGAUGGGAAUCAGGUUAAUAUUCCUGAACCUGCGUCAGAUGCGAUGGGGGGACGGAGCAUGGAAGAUCAUCCGGGUGUUGGAAGUCCCGGUUGUUUAGCGUAGGAGGUCUGCAGGCAAAUCCGCAGACGCAUCUCCAAGGCAAAGACACGUGCCGCUACGGCGGCGAAGUGAUCGGAAGUGCUUCCAAGAAAAGCCUCUAAGCCCCAGUCUGACGCGGACCGUACCGCAAACCGACACUGGUGGGCGAGCCGAAUAUGCUCAGGCGCUUGAGAGAACUCGGGAGAAGGAACUCGGCAAAUUGACACCGUAACUUCGGAAGAAGGUGUGCCGUAGUACCGUGAGAGGAGAGACACCUUGAGCGGGAAACGGUCUCAGAGAAUAGGUGGCUGCGACUGUUUAUUAAAAACACAGCACUCUGCAAAGUCGAAAGACGACGUAUAGGGUGUGAUGCCUGCCCGGUGCUGGAAGAUUAAUUGAUGGGGUGAGAGCCCUUGAUCGAAGUCCCAGUAAACGGCGGCCGUAACUAUAACGGUCCUAAGGUAGCGAAAUUCCUUGUC
rnacentral:rRNA from 1 species